rnacentral:misc_RNA from 1 species
CGCCGUUAGCCUCAGGGUCCUUCAAGCUAUCCAUGUAUUCCUUCAACUUAUCAUCCCACAUCUGGUAGUUCCCCUCGUUGAAGGAGUAGAUCUUCCCAGCUCGGGGAAUGGUGGCCGCUUCAGUGGUCAUCACGAACUCCCCGUACAUCGGGUCGAGGGUGAAUAUGUAGACGCCUUUCCCGACUGUGAGGACGAAGAUGACGGAGCUGGAGUACAUGCAGUAGCCGGCAGCGAGGAGGUUGUUACCAGGCUGACAGACGCUGACGACGCAGCGUUGAGUUGUUUGGUCAAGAGUUUCGUCUUCGUCGAUGUUGGCGAGGCACUCGUCGUUAGGGUGGUAGAUGCCGAAGAUGGAGCCGGUGGAGACUGCAGCGUCAAUGUUGGAGGAGCCGUCCAGGGGAUCGAAGACGACGAUGUAGUUGCCGGAGUAGCUUUCUUCUACUGCGACCGGGACGUCUUCUUCCUCGGAGGCGAUGAUGCCGGUGCGGCCGCUUGAUCUCAAGCAGUUUGAGAAGACCUCAUUGGAAACAACGUCGAGCUUCUUCUGGUCCUCUCCCUGAACAUUGACGGCGCCCUGAACGCCGGUGAGGUUUGAGAUUCCGGCCCUCUGCACCAGAGAAGCUAUCUGCUUGCAUGCCAUGGAGAUGCUGGAGAGGACGAUGGUCAGCUCAGCAUCAAUGUUCCCCGC